GUAUGAUGAGACACCAGCUGGCACCAGUCCUAGAAAGACUUGUACUCUUUUUGCUGCGGAAUAGCUUGGGGGACACUGUCCCUAUCUCUGAA
rnacentral:snoRNA from 1 species